rnacentral:lncRNA from 1 species
GAACAGUUCUUUCCAACUUCCAAUUAUUGUAUUUCUUUAUUUCUCAUAGGCAACAUUGUGUCCCAGUGAGCUCAGAAUGUUCUGGAACCCAGCACCUAAAUUCAUCUGUGCCCCCUGUGUUAUGAAAGACACACUUUUCCCCAAAUACCAGAUAACACUGGCAGACUUGUGCAAAGAGAAUCUGUUGGAUGAACUGCACGAUGUGGUGAAGUCAGUUAGCCAUGUGAUGGACACAGAACAGGUUACUUCUGAGGCCAGACGGCCUCGCUCUGCCCCUCACUUAACCCCAGAUCUUGAGCCCUUAUCUUCGGCUACAGUCCGACUUCACCAGCCUUUCCCAGGAGCUGGAGCAUGUGCGGUGGCAGCAGCAGUGGCAAAACUCAAUCUGUGCAGCUCUGGCCAGAGAAUCUCCAUCCAGUGCCAAACAAACAAAGCCUCAGGAGGUUCACACAGAGCACAACUCAUCAGAGCAGCCCUGCCAGGUCCCAAACCACAGGAGGAACAAAUGCAAAGAGAGGGCAAGGGUGUCCCGUUUCAAACGCAGGGCCAAGAAAAGAGGAAAAACAAACAACUCUGUCAAGAUGGACUACGUUUGGAAAAAACUGAGAGAGCCAUCACGGACACUAACAAGGAGUGUCUCUGUGUCGGUUACCAUGGGAGUCCAAAACCUCCAAAGGACAAUUUUCACCCCUCCUCUGCCACAGUCUGCCCAUGAUCCUAGAUUUUGAGACCUUUGCCACAGAUCGUGGUGGGAUACCGGACACGACACCACCCCGAGAGUGGGUCAGAGACAUAUGGGACGCCUGGUUUGACGAGGUGCAGGCUCUCUCCAUGAUGGUCUGGAGGACAACCAGCUUCCACAGGACGAGAUCCAGGAUCUGAACAGAGUGGUUUUGGAUGAAGGUCUCAAUACAGCUGAUUCAGAGCACAAAGUGGCCAAGC